UACGUAGGGACCAAGCGUUGUUCGGAUUUACUGGGCGUAAAGGGCGCGUAGGCGGCAAUUCAAGUCACCUGUGAAAUCUCUGGGCUUAACCCAGAACGGCCAGGUGAUACUGCUUUGCUAGAGUGCGGAAGGGGCAAUCGGAAUUCUUGGUGUAGCGGUGAAAUGCGUAGAUAUCAAGAGGAACACCUGAGGUGAAGACGGGUUGCUGGGCCGACACUGACGCUGACAGCGCGAAAGCCAGGGGAGCAAACGGG
rnacentral:rRNA from 1 species